CCACUCCAGCCAAAUGCAAUGACAUGCAAGAAACUAGUAUGACGUCACUACAGCAGACAUUUUACAUAACCAACAAACAUGGCGCAUUCGCAUCGCACUGAACAGCACACUGGCCGGAUAUUGAAGACCUAGAAAUUGAAUUGCCUAUUGCUCUAAACAACCUCGAAAACUUAAUCAUGGGUGCUCGUGCCACCCAUUAUAAAAUCUCUCAACUAAGUCAUUAUGCCUCAGCAAAUACUACAACAACAAAAAGAUGCCACUCGCUCCCGCCAAAAGUGAUGUCUCACAGCAACAAAUCUAACCUCUUCAGUCAAAUAAAACAAUAAGUUUGUAAGAAUACAUGCAAGAAACAAGAAUGACGUCACUGAAGCAGACAUUUAUAAAGAACGAACAAACAUGGCGUUCUUCAUUGCCCUGAACAACAUAAUGGCCAGCCUUAGCUCAGUGGUUUAGAUUGACAAUAUUAAGGCGCAAUGCCAUUGCAACUCACGACUCAACUGAGACGUACGGCUAUUGAUUAGUCAUCACCUGUGCACUCAAUGGUAUGCACAAACCCGCCUGCAAAUGCAACGAAACCAAUGAACUCAUCCUACACGCCCAUAACACCCGCCACACAUGCCAUUACACAAAACACCUCAGCUACUCACGAGCCUAUGGAAUCAAUGCAGCUACACCAUAGCCUACCUGCGUGGAACGCAUACCUGUGAGCGCGUGUGGGAGUGCCUGUAUUUGCUUGUGGAAUGAAUCCCUGCCACACAGCCAACCUACGCGAUCGCCUUGAGUGUGUUUCUUGCUGGCCGGCGGCUCUUUGUUUGCAUAGCAUCUCCCUCGCAUCUACAACACGCUUUAACCAGCACCCACGCACAAUAAGUUAUCACAUCUACAACACCUCGGACUCCUGAGCCAACUAACUUCACCUCAGCAAAUACUAUACCCGCACCUACGCGCAUAUAAGAGCUGAGAGUGGAGUGGUGCGUACCUUAUUGACGGACUGCCCUGGCGGCGCAGAGCGCAUAUGCAACCGCAAUCCAUUCUGUUCCAGCAUCCCUGCCUCCAUGGCCUGCCAGUGCGCAUCAUGGAGAUCGUGCCCUGCCGGAUGAAGCUCUGCCUUAUGCCAAUGGCAUCGAGCACAUCAACAACUCCUAGGUCACCUAAGCCAACUAAUUUCAACACAGCAACUACUAUACCCGCAACAGCAACCCAUGCGCAUAUUAGAGCUGAUAGUGGAGUGGCGCGCAUCUAAUUGCAGGCUUGUCUUGGCAGUGCUGAGCGCAUAUGCA
rnacentral:sRNA from 1 species